AUACCUUUCUCGGCCUUUUGGCUAAGAUCAAGUGUAGUAUCUGUUCUUAUCAGUUUAAUAUCUGAUACGUGGACCAAUGGUUCACACGAUAUUAAAUUAAUUUUUUUUGGGGGAGAGUCCACCACAGUAGCUUGCUAUUGGGGCUCUCGAGCGUCGCCCAAGUAUUGCACUACUGCAUGGGCCUGGCGCACCCCAC
rnacentral:snRNA from 1 species